UACGGAGGGUGCAAGCGUUGCUCGGAAUUAUUGGGCGUAAAGGGUAGGUAGGUGGUCUCAUUUGUCUGGGGUGAAAGCCUUGAGCUUAACUCAAGAAGUGCCCCAGAAACGGUGAGACUAGAGUCCUGGAGAGGGUCGUGGAAUUCCCGGUGUAGCGGUGAAGUGCGUAGAGAUCGGGAGGAACACCAGAGGCGAAAGCGGCGACCUGGACAGGUACUGACACUCAACUACGAAAGCGUGGGGAGCAAACAGG
rnacentral:rRNA from 1 species